rnacentral:rRNA from 1 species
GAUGAACGCUGGCGGCGUGCCUAAUACAUGCAAGUCGAGCGAAUGGAUUAAGAGCUUGCUCUUAUGAAGUUAGCGGCGGACGGGUGAGUAACACGUGGGUAACCUGCCCAUAAGACUGGGAUAACUCCGGGAAACCGGGGCUAAUACCGGAUAAUAUUUUGAACUGCAUGGUUCAAAAUUGAAAGGCGGCUUCGGCUGUCACUUAUGGAUGGACCCGCGUCGCAUUAGCUAGUUGGUGAGGUAACGGCUCACCAAGGCAACGAUGCGUAGCCGACCAGAGAGGGUGAUCGGCCACACUGAGACUGAGACACGGCCCAGACGCCUACGGGAGGCAGCAGUAGGGAAUCUUCCGCAAUGGACGAAAGUCUGACGGAGCAACGCCGCGUGAGUGAUGAAGGCUUUCGGGUCGUAAAACUCUGUUGUUAGGGAAGAACAAGUGCUAGUUGAAUAAGCUGGCACCUUGACGGUACCUAACCAGAAAGCCACGGCUAACUACGUGCCAGCAGCCGCAGUAA